UACUUCUCGGUGGUUAUUUUGGCUGGGUGUGGAGGAGACUGCUCACUACUUGGCGCCUGGUCCUCCUUAGAGAGCUCCUUCCACCGUUUCUGCAAACAAGAAGAAUGUGUUUCAAACAUUCUCCUAACACUGAAGCCAAUAAGGACAUUGAAUACCUUGGGGAAAAAAGAAAAGUCGCUUUUAGAUAUCUGUGAUUAGAAAGAUGAACUGUAAAUUGACUCUUCGCAAAACAAGUGCCAGACUGUCAUCUGUGGAAUGAAUUCAAGACUAACCUAAAAAAAAAAAACCCUCAAAAACUGAUGUCAAAACCAUAGCUAUUCAUAAAUGAAGCUACGAAGAGUACCUCACUAUGCUGAUUUUCCAACCACUGAAUCAGCUUUAGCAAUAAACUAAUUCCUCCACUGCAGAGGUUUUGUUUUGCUUUAUAAAGAAACAGCCACUAACAAUUCAAGAAAAUCCACAGUGCGGAUUCACUGCCAGAGAAAAAGUCUUUUCACAAGACAUAGCUGUGUCAAUAAGAUAUUUGCUGGCUAAGACGAAUACUCUAUCUGGGGUAACAAGCACACAGGAAGAACUGAAAUCAGAGACAAGCUUACUAAUUUUAUCACACAAAAGGAAUUUCCCACCACUCAUUCUACUGUAACUGCAAUAAGUUGGCUCCAAUGCCUAGUCCAAAAUAUAAUUUUAAGUUUAAAUCUCCAUGACAAGACUAUUUGAACAUCAGGGCUGCAAAAAAAGAGAAGUGUACAUCUUUGAGCAAACAAGCAGCAAGGACUGUGGUGUUAAAGUUUCCAAUUAGAUGACAGCACCUGCAACUUUAUAAAAAAAACAAAAAUGCAUCUCUGGAACUGAGGUACUGCACUGCAUCUUGUGAAAUGACGUCUGGAACAAACAAGUGAUGAAAUUUCCAUCACUGUCAUACAAUCACCCUCAAAAUUAUAACCAAAAUGUUUGUGAAAGGUAGCUAAGCUUUAGGGCCCGUAUCGCCUCUUGGAACAAAUGGAGACAAUAAAGAAUGUGUCUGGGCAAUGGAAAUGUUAAGAUGAACAUCUGAUCCUGUCAGCUGAACAACAGCUCCAGUUUUGGGGAUUCACAAACAUCAGUACGAAGUUGUUGUGUUCCAUGUCGGCAAAACACCUCUAUGAGAUGACCUAAGCAAUUCAACCUUCUUUGUCCUUUCAAAGCCACAAAUUCGUUUUCCAGAGACCACUCACUUCAACAGUUUUUUUUUUUCCUGAAAAAGUGACAAAUUAUUCUGCUGCAUCAUUGAAACAAUUUAACUUCAUUAAGAAGGUAUUUUAUAGAAACAAAAACUUGAGUCUUGUUCCCCCUCAUUUAUAGCACAUAGUGCUGCAGUACAAUCAAGAAGCAAGUCAGUGCUUUAGCUACGAAACCAUGGUAUCAGCACACCAGCCACACAUCUCUGUAGGGCUCCAGGGCAAAUGAGGUGAGCACUGAUCCCCUCCUGAGAGUCCUGGGUGGAAGCCCCACAUGUGCUAAGUGAAGGGAAGAGCAUUCUCCUACCCUGAAAUAAAUAGUGCAGCUGCAGCCAAGCAUGUGCUGUGCUUGCUUGCACAGUUUACUAAAAUCCAUGGAGAAGUCAGAGACGAACAUUUCGGUAGCACUACGUGAGAGAAACCUGCCACAACUACAUGCUCACUCCAGCAGCUCUCACACUCUGGACAGUACAACAGAUCUCUGUGGGUGAAAACAUGACGCAGCUGACCUUGAAAGGAGAAACACCCCUGUAUGUACUGCAGGCUUGGGUCAAACAGGUAUUGAUUUUCUGCACAUGACCAUGAUGCAGAAAGAGAAGAGCAUCCAGACAACUAACUACAUUACAGAAAACAAUGACUUAGGAAAGGUGACCUGAACAAUCAACAGAGAAAACAAAACCCAAGCAACCAGCAGAAAUAUGCCUCAGAUAUACUCUCAGAUGCAGAAACAACAUACUUGAACUUGAUGAGCAGUAUUCUGAGUUGACAAUUCUUCCUUCUAUCUAUCUAUAUUGCAAGAUUUCUGCAUAGAUGUGGGAGUCAGAGCUGCACAACUUGAAGCACAGCUUUUUAAUCAACAAAGCAGAAAAAUUACAAAAAGAGAACACCCUCAUGCUCCCAGAAAGAAAGCUCCAGAAAGGUAGGAGGCUGCGUGUGUUUGGAUGAAUCAUGCAGUAUUCUGGGCGCUCAGUGCAGCUGUUCAGAUUAGCAGCAAACUCCCUACGUGUUGGUACAUAGCUGUGUAAAAUCAUUUAUUUAUAUGCAUAGCGAGUCGAGAAAAAAAUUCUUGAAGAAGAAUCUGACAACUACCAGAACCGCAGAAGAAGAGAUGUAUGUUUUAGCCCAUCUGCUUCAUUAAUUUUAAUGAAUCAACUGAAUAAAAAAGCCCUAGCAUAUGAAAGCAGAA